CGCGGCCUAUCAGCUUGUUGGUGGGGUAAUGGCCUACCAAGGCGGCGACGGGUAGCCGGCCUGAGAGGGUGUACGGCCACAUUGGGACUGAGAUACGGCCCAGACUCCUACGGGAGGCAGCAGUGGGGAAUAUUGCACAAUGGGCGCAAGCCUGAUGCAGCGACGCCGCGUGGGGGAUGAAGGCCUUCGGGUUGUAAACUCCUUUCGCUAGGGACGAAGCUUUGUUGUGACGGUACCUAGAUAAGAAGCACCGGCUAACUACGUGCCAGCAGUCGCGGUAAUACGUAGGGUGCGAGCGUUGUCCGGAAUUACUGGGCGUAAAGGGCUCGUAGGUGGUUUGUCGCGUCGUCUGUGAAAUUCUGGGGCUUAACUCCGGGCGUGCAGGCGAUACGGGCAUAACUUGAGUGCUGUAGGGGUAACUGGAAUUCCUGGUGUAGCGGUGAAAUGCGCAGAUAUCAGGAGGAACACCGAUGGCGAAGGCAGGUUACUGGGCAGUUACUGACGCUGAGGAGCGAAAGCAUGGGUAGCGAACAGGAUUAGAUACCCUGGUAGUCCAUGCCGUAAACGGUGGGCGCUAGGUGUGAGGGUCUUUCUACGACUUUCGUGCCGAAGCUAACGCAUUAAGCGCCCCGCCUGGGGAGUACGG
rnacentral:rRNA from 1 species